UACGUAGGUGGCAAGCGUUGUCCGGAUUUAUUGGGUUUAAAGGGUGCGUAGGCGGCCGCUUAAGUCAGUUGUGAAAUAUCCCGGCUCAACCGGGAGGGUGCGAUUGAUACUGGGCGGCUCGAGUAACAGCGAGGUUGGCGGAAUUGACGGUGUAGCGGUGAAAUGCGCAGAUAUCAGGAGGAACACCGAUGGCGAAGGCAGGUCUCUGGGCAUUAACUGACGCUGAGGAGCGAAAGCAUGGGGAGCGAACAGG
rnacentral:rRNA from 1 species